GAAAGCUUGCUUUUCGGAUCAGUGGCGAACGGGUGAGUAACACGUGAGUAACCUGCCCUUGACUCUGGGAUAACUGCUAGAAAUGGUAGCUAAUACCGGAUACGACCCUCGGCCGCAUGGUCAGGGGGUGGAAAGAAUUUUGGUCAAGGAUGGACUCGCGGCCUAUCAGGUAGUUGGUGAGGUAAUGGCUCACCAAGCCUACGACGGGUAGCCGGCCUGAGAGGGUGACCGGCCACACUGGGACUGAGACACGGCCCAGACUCCUACGGGAGGCAGCAGUGGGGAAUAUUGCACAAUGGGCGAAAGCCUGAUGCAGCAACGCCGCGUGAGGGACGACGGCCUUCGGGUUGUGAACCUCUUUUAGUAGGGAAGAAGCGAAAGUGACGGUACCUGCAGAAAAAGCACCGGCUAACUACGUGCCAGCAGCCGCGGUAAUACGUAGGGUGCAAGCGUUGUCCGGAAUUAUUGGGCGUAAAGAGCUCGUAGGCGGUUUGUCGCGUCUGCUGUGAAAUCCGGAGGCUCAACCUCCGGCCUGCAGUGGGUACGGGCAGACUAGAGUGCGGUAGGGGAGAUUGGAAUUCCUGGUGUAGCGGUGGAAUGCGCAGAUAUCAGGAGGAAUACCAAUGGCGAAGGCAGAUCUCUGGGCCGUAACUGACGCUGAGGAGCGAAAGCAUGGGGAGCGAACAGGAUUAGAUACCCUGGUAGUCCAUGCCGUAAACGUUGGGAACUAGAUGUGGGGGCCAUUCC
rnacentral:rRNA from 1 species